GGAUGUGAGGGUGAUCUGGCUGCGACAUGUCACCCCAUUGAUUGCCAGGGUUGAUUUGGCUGAUCUGACUGGCUAGGCGGGUGUCCCCUUCCUCCCUCACUGCUCCAUGUGCCUCACUCCCGAAGCUGCAUGUUCAGUCUAAGGGGACGACCUUCCUGAUAGAGGAGGACCAUUCUUCCAUCAAGGGUAUACGAGUAGCUGCGCUCCCCUGUUAGAACCUCCCAACAAGCUCUCAGGGUCUAAAAGGGGAUGGCAAAGGCCUCUUCCUUCACUGCCUCCACCGCUUCACGCUGCAGGUAGGUACCAUUC
rnacentral:snRNA from 1 species